AGAACGAACGCUGGCGGCAUGCCUAACACAUGCAAGUCGAACGAGACCUUCGGGUCUAGUGGCGCACGGGUGCGUAACGCGUGGGAAUCUGCCCUUGGGUUCGGAAUAACAGCGAGAAAUUGCUGCUAAUACCGGAUGAUGACGUAAGUCCAAAGAUUUAUCGCCCAAGGAUGACGCCCGCGUAGGAUUAGCUUGUUGGUGAGGUAAGAGCUCACCAAGGCGACGAUCCCUAGCUGGUCUGAGAGGAUGAUCAGCCACACUGGGACUGAGACACGGCCCAGACUCCUACGGGAGGCAGCAGGU
rnacentral:rRNA from 1 species